ACGAACGCUGGCGGCGUGCCUAAUACAUGCAAGUAGAACGCACAGUUUAUACCGUAGCUUGCUACACCAUAGACUGUGAGUUGCGAACGGGUGAGUAACGCGUAGGUAACCUGCCUGGUAGCGGGGGAUAACUAUUGGAAACGAUAGCUAAUACCGCAUAAUAUUGAUUAUUGCAUGAUAAUUAAUUGAAAGGUGCAAUUGCACCACUACCAGAUGGACCUGCGUUGUAUUAGCUAGUAGGUGAGGUAACGGCUCACCUAGGCGACGAUACAUAGCCGACCUGAGAGGGUGAUCGGCCACACUGGGACUGAGACACGGCCCAGACUCCUACGGGAGGCAGCAGUAGGGAAUCUUCGGCAAUGGACGAAAGUCUGACCGAGCAACGCCGCGUGAGUGAAGAAGGUUUUCGGAUCGUAAAGCUCGGUUGUAAGAGAAGAACGGGUGUGAGAGUGGAAAGUUCACACUGUGACGGUAUCUUACCAGAAAGGGACGGCUAACUACGUG
rnacentral:rRNA from 1 species